rnacentral:lncRNA from 1 species
GCUAAUCUUCAAUAACACCAUGGGGCGAGUUCCAAAACCAUUCAUUAUUGUCCUCCUAACACUCAUUGUGUGUUCCUAUUCACAAGCUCAUCGAAAUCUUCGAGAAUCACCUGGAGGUCCUGACCCAAUACAUCAUGGAAUUGAGGAUCCAAUGAAUAGUGAAGCUUAUGGAAUCUAUCGAGAAUCUUCCGGAGAUGCAGACUCAAUACAUCAGAAAAUAAAGGAUCAUAUGGGAGCGAAAGCCUUUAAAAUAUAUCGAGAAACACCUACAGGUCCAAAUCCAAUACAUGACUAGAAUGACGAAUCAGCUUAGGAUCUAAGGAAAAGACACCAAGAAGAAUCGAUCAUUUACAUUACUCCUUGCAUAUUUGUCUAUUCUUAGAUCAAAUAAAUAAAUAAAUAAACUGUUUAUGUGAUUCUCUAAAAAUCUUAUUUAGAGUAGUCAUUGAAGUGGUAUGCAUGGAAAAUAUGUGUUCUUGAUAAUAUGGGCUAUCAAUUUCGAAGCAAAAAUAUAAAUUCUAAGGAAAAUAUACAUAAAUGAUGUUAUUAUUAAAAUAAAUUAGUCGAUGAUAGUGUCGGAAGGCUCUCCAUUCAAAUAUCUGUUCAUAUCUCUCUUGCACCCGACAUAAUUGAUUCUUGAAAAUCACUUUGAAUGUUUUCCUUAUGGUGAGGUGAUUCAAUUUGAUCCAUUAUGUGUAGAUAUUUUACUGGGCUAAGAAUUAUCAAAGUUAUAAAUUUAGUAUGGAACUCGAAUUCUAUAUGUGCAAUUGAGCUAUACUAAGAAUUAAUCCUAUUCAAGUUUAUAUAUAAACCUACGCAAGACUCUAUAUAUCUUUCAAUAAUGUUUAGUCCAUGGCAAUUGAACUUGAUAAUUACUAUUUCAGUAAUGAAUUCUACAUCUUAUCGGACAAGUUUGCUUCUAAUCGAACUAGGUUCGUUUCUAAGUACACCUACUAACUUUUCAUAAAUUAUAUUCAAUAUCUUAAUCAAACAUGACCAAUCCCGGAUGAGGCAAUUGAACACUGCCAUAAUUGUGUGUCUUUUCAAAAUAAAAUAGGUUUUUUUUCUUCCGAAAUGAAUAAUAGAAAAAUCAAGCAUUGAUGUUGAUUACCAUUUGGAAACAAGGAAUUACAAAAAAUUAAAAUCAUUUAAUAAGUCUAAUCAAUACCUAUGCAAAAAAGAAAAAACAAGCCCUAACGCCACUACUUCAAAGGAGCAUGCUUUUUUCGUGUGAUAAUCAUAAUUUUUAUAUCACUUCUUUGUUCAUUUAUAAUAUACAUGAUUUAAUUGUUUUUUUGCUUUACAAUUUUAUUAGAUAUUUAAGGGUGCCAUUAAUGCAACAUUAGAGGGUUUUAAAAUUAUCCAUUAUUUUUUAAAGUUACAUAUCAUAACUGAUAUCAUUUAAUUAAUAUGGUAUUUGGAUUGUUAUAUAAGAUAUUAAUUUUAAUAUUUGAUGCAUAUGGUAUUUAAGGAUUGAAAAAUUCAUCUUUCAAAUUUCAACAUGUAUGACUUCCAUUCCCAGACAAAUGAAUUACCAAAUGGUAGAAGGAAAUGAGUUCUUUAUAUUUACAUUAGGAAAAAUUAACACAUUUCUAUUACAUUAUUUUAUCGACCAAACAUGACCUAAUUUUAACAAACAUUUAAAUGAAAUUCACCAUGAUUCAAAUUUCGAGAUAUAAAUUAGUAAAAUAUUGUAUUUUUCCUUUGACUUUCUUAUAGAUUUCAAAUUUUAUAGAAAUAAUUCAUCAUGAUUAUCAAGUAAUUAGUAUUCAAGGAGGAACAAAUGAAAAAAAAAAAAAAGAAGGACAUCUUGCUAAAGGGGACUUUCCUAAUUGUAUUUUGUUCUAGUGUGAGAGGUAAAAUAAUUGCCUAGUUUAAAACUUAUGGCAAAAAAUGGAAUUUUAUAUUUUUUUUUAUUGUAAGCAUCACAUUUUUAUUGUUAUCUUCAAUUGUUAUGUAAUUAAGCGGCGUAUCGUGAUUGCACCAACAAAAGGAAAAAAAUUCCCCGCAAAUAUCUUCCUUGAAAUUCUUUUCUUAUCAUAUCAAAUGGUAUUAAUAGAAAAGUAUCUCUUACAUUUUGAAUAAUAAAUACAAGAUUUUCUCCCAAAUUAUCUCUCAUAUGUGGGAACAUUAAACCAUAUAGAAGCCCAAAUCCAGAUGGAUUACUUACGAUUCUUUGGGAUUUAAAAUUUAAGUACAAGAAAAUAGUAGAAGAACAAAGAUAUCCUCUACUUGAAUUCUUAGAUCUAAUUCUUAAUGUUUCGCAUCUAAUUCUCAAAUCUAAAAAUCUAAACUUAUAUUCUCAAUAAAAAUCCCUUUAGUAUCAUUUAAAUUUGGCUUAUAAAUAGAGAAACUUGUUACCAUUCCACUCAAAUCAAAAUUUAGCUAAUCUUCAAUAACACCAUGGGGCGAGUUUCAAAACCAUUCAUUAUUGUCCUCCUAACACUCAUUGUGUGUUCCUAUUCACAAGCUCAUCGAAAUCUUCGAGAAUCACCUGGAGGUCCUGACCCAAUACAUCAUGGAAUUGAGGAUCCAAUGAAUAGUGAAGCUUAUGGAAUCUAUCGAGAAUCUUCCGGAGAUGCAGACUCAAUACAUCAGAAAAUAAAGGAUCAUAUGGGAGCGAACGCCUUUAAAAUAUAUCGAGAAACACCUACAGGUCCAAAUCCAAUACAUGACUAGAAUGACGAAUCAGCUUAGGAUCUAAGGAAAAGACACUAAGAAGAACCGAUCAUUUACAUUACUCCUUGAAUAUUUGUCUAUUCUUAGAUCAAAUAAAUAAAUAAAUAAACUAUUUAUGUGAUUCUCUAAAAAUCUUAUUUAGAGUAGUCAUUGAAGUGGUAUGCAUGGAAAAUAUGCGUUCUUGAUAAUAUGGGCUAUCAAUUUCGAAGUAAAAAUAUAAAUUCUAAGGAAAAUAUACAUAAAUGAUGUUAUUAUUAAAAUAAAUUAGUCGAUGACAGUGUCGGAAGGCUCUCCAUUCAAAUAUCUGUUCAUAUCUCUCUUGCACCCGACAUAAUUAAUUCUUGAAAAUCACUUUGAAUGUUUUCCUUAUGGUGAGGUGAUUCAAUUUGAUCCAUUAUGUGUAGAUAUUUUACUGGGUUAAGAAUUAUCAAAGUUAUAAAUUUAGUAUGGAACUCGAAUUCUAUAUGUGCAAUUGAGCUAUACUAAGAAUUAAUCCUAUUAGAGUUUAUAUAUAAACCUACGCAAGACUCUAUAUAUAUUUCAAUAAUGUUUAGUCUAUUGCAAUUGAACUUGAUAAUUACUAUUUCAGUAAUAAAUUCUACAUCUUAUUGGACAAGUUUGCCUCUAAUCGAACUAAGUUCAUUUCUAAGUACAUCUACUAAAUUUUCAUGAAUUAUAUUCAAUAUCUUAAUCAAACAUGACCAAUCCCGGGUGAGGCAAUUGAACACUAUGUCAUAAUUGUGUGUCUUUUCAAAAUAAAAUAGGUUUUUUUUUCUUCGGAAAUGAAUAAUAGAAAAAUCAAACAUUGAUGUUGAUUACCAUUUGGAAACACGGAAUUACAAAAAAUUAAAAUCAUUUAAUAAGUCUAAUAAAUACCCGUGCAAAAAAGAAAAAACAAGCCCUAACGCCAGUAUUUCAAAGGAGCAUGCUUUUUUCGUGUGACAGUCAUAAUUUCUAUAUCACUUCUUUGUUCAUUUAUAAUAUAAAUGAUUUAAUUGUUUUUUUGCUUUACAAUUUUAUUAGAUAUUUAAGGGUGUUAUUAAUGCAACAUUAGAGGGUUUUAAAAUUAUCCAUUAUUUUUUAAAGUUACAUAUCAUAGCUGAUAUCAUUUAAUUAAUAUGGUAUUUGGAUUGUUAUAUAAGAUAUUAAUUUUAAUAUUUGAUGCAUAUGGUAUUUAAGGAUUGAAAAUUUCAUCUUUCAAAUUUCAACAUGUAUGACCUCCAUUCCCAGACAAAUGAAUUACCAAAUGGUAGAAGGAAAUGAGUUCUUUAUAUUUACAUUAGGAAAAAUUAACACAUUUCUAUUACCUUAUUUUAUCAACCAAACAUGACCUAAUUUUAACAAACAUUUAAAUGAAAUUCACCAUGAUUCAAAUUUCGAGAUAUAAAUUAAUAAAAUAUUGUAUUUUUCCUUUGACUUUCUUAUAGAUAUCGAAAUUUAUAGAAAUAAUUCAUCAUGAUUAUCAAGUAAUUAGUAUUCAAGGAGGAACAAAUGAAGAAAAAAAAAAAAGGACAUCUUGCUAAAGGGGACUUUCCUAAUUGUAUUUUGUUCUAGUGUGAGAGGUAAAAUAAUUGCCUAGUUUAAAACUUAUGGUAAAAAAUGGAAUUUUAUAUUUUUUUUAUUGUAAGCAUCACAUUUUUAUUGUUAUCUUCAAUUGUUAUGUAAUUAAGCUGCAUAUCAUGAUUGCAACAAGAAAAGGAAAAACAAUCCCCGUAACUAUCUCCCCUAAAAUUCUUUUCUUAUCAUAUCAUAUGGUAUUAAUAGAAAAGUAUCUCUUACAUUUUGGAUAAUAAAUAAAAGAUUUUCUCCCAAAUUAUCUCUCAUAUGUGGGAACAUUACACUAUAUAGAAGCCCAAAUCCAGAUGGAUUACUUACGAUUCUUUGGGAUUUAAAAUUUAAGUACAAGAAAAUAGUAGAAGAACAAAGAUAUCCUCUACUUGAAUUCUUAGAUCUGAUUCUUAAUAUUUCACAUCUAAUUCUCAAAUCUAAAAAUCUAAACUUAUAUUCUCAAUAAUAAUCCCUUAGUGUCAUUUAAAUUUUACUUAUAAAUAGAGAAACUUUUUACCAUUCCACUCAAAUCCUAAUUUAGCUACUCUUCAAUAAUACCACGGGGCAAGUUCUGAAACCAUUCAUUAUUGUCCUCCUAGCACUCAUUGUGUGUUCCUAUUCACAAGCUCAUCGAAAUCUUCGAGAAUCUCCUGGAGGUCCUGACCCAAUACAUCAUGGAAUUGAGGAUCCAAUGAAUAAUGAAGCUUAUGGAAUCUAUCGAGAAUCUUCCGGAGAUGUAGACUCAAUACAUCAGAAAAUAAAGGAUCAUAUGGGAGCGAACGACUUUAAAAUAUAUCGAGAAACACCUACAGGUCCAAAUCCAAUACAUGACUAGAAUGAUGAAUCAGUUUAGGGUCUAAGGAAAAGACAUCAAGAAGAACCGAUCAUUUACAUUACUUCUUGCAUAUUUGUCUAAUCUUAGAUCAAAUAAAUAAAUAAAUAAAUAAAUAAAUAAAUAAAUAAACUAUUUAUGUGAUUCUCUAGAAAUCUUAUUUAGAGU